ACUCAAUAGAUACCCGGGUAGUCCACGCUGUAAACGAUGGGUGCUAGGUGUUGGAGGUAUCGACCCCUUCAGUGCCGUAGCUAAACGCAUUAAGCACCCCACCUGGGGAGUACGUUCGCAAGAAUGAAACUCAAAGGAAUUGACGGGGGCCCGCACAAGCGGUGGAGCAUGUGGUUUAAUUCGACGCAACGCGAAGAACCUUACCUGGGUUUGAACUGCGGGGGACAGCCCUCGAAAGAGGGUCUCCCUUCGGGGCCGCCGCAGAGGUGCUGCAUGGCUGUCGUCAGCUCGUGUCGUGAGAUGUUGGGUUAAGUCCCGUAACGAGCGCAACCCCUACCCUUAGUUGCCAGCGGGUUAAGCCGGGAACUCUAAGGGAACCGCCGGUGAUAAACCGGAGGAAGGUGGGGAUGACGUCAAGUCCUCAUGGCCUUUAUGCCCAGGGCCACACACGUGCUACAAUGGCCGGUACAAAGGGUUGCCGAACCGUGAGGUGGAGCUAAUCCCAAAAGCCGGUCUCAGUUCGGAUUGGGGUCUGCAACUCGACCCCAUGAAGGUGGAAUCGCUAGUAAUCGCGGA
rnacentral:rRNA from 1 species